rnacentral:rRNA from 1 species
AGAGUUUGAUCAUGGCUCAGGAUGAACGCUAGCUACAGGCUUAACACAUGCAAGUCGAGGGGAAACGACAUCGAAAGCUUGCUUUUGAUGGGCGUCGACCGGCGCACGGGUGAGUAACGCGUAUCCAACCUGCCCAUCACUUGGGGAUAACCUUGCGAAAGUAAGACUAAUACCCAAUGAUAUCUCUAGAAGGCAUCUGAAAGAGAUUAAAGAUUUAUCGGUGAUGGAUGGGGAUGCGUCUGAUUAGCUUGGUUGGCGGGGUAACGCCACCAAGCAACGAUCAGUAGGGUUCUGAGAGGAAGGUCCCCCANAUUGGAACUGAGACACGGUCCAAACUCCUACGGGAGGCA